UGACAUUAAGUCGGAAAUGCAGUAGAAUAAAGCUCGUACAUACUUGCUAAUCUUACUAAAUACUAAUACUUAGUACUAACACUUACUAAAAAGCAUGUUUUACUUUUUUUUACUGAAUAAUGUUUGCUUUAGGUUGCUGUGAGUCUACUGGAAAACUGUUCCACAGUCAUGUUCCACAGUUUAGGGUUACAGAACAAUCAGGACUUCUGGGAUCUUUUCUGCAGAGGGAAAAUUCAAAAGUAGGCGUCACUAAGGACUACGCUGCAGGACCUAAACUGCGUUAACUUUGGGACUUGCAACUGUUAUCACAUUUGUCUUAAUAGAUUUUUAAGAUGUGGCGUGCUCUGAGAGGAUGAAAGUGGGCAAAGCGUGUGAAAUGAUCCCUGUCAUAUUUAAGAUCUUUGCAUCACUCAGGCGGGUUAAUAGUUUCGCUGUCAUCUGCACAAGGACCAAAACUGACUGCCUGUUCAUCAGAUCCAUCGUUUCAUUUUGCAGUUUUUAUGGCUAAAAUGUUUAUUCUGUUCACCAUCGUGUUGCGUUUUGUCUUAGCUGUGGCACAUUACGUUACUAAAUAUUUGCAUCUGUUGUAUUUUAUUUUUAAUUUUUACUUUUAGUUAUGGAGAAUUUCCAUUUUUGGGGGGAUGCAUGAAUGACAUAUCUUAUGUAUAGUACAAAGUUUUUUGUGAUUAGUUUGAUGUCAAACAUAAAAUAUAAGCAGUUGGGUCAGGGAUUAGUUAGCUGAAGUCUAAGGAACUCAGUAGCCACAUCCAUAUCUGCAUAGGUGUUUGUCUGUUUGUUUGUUUGUUUUAUUUUAACAUGAACACAUUGUACUGAACAUCUUUAUUGAAAUCAGUGAGUGAAGGGAUUUGAUUUUGAUGUGCUGUUUUGUUUUUCAUUGAUCUUGCAAUAUAAAUAUUAUGUAGCCUUUAAAAGGUCGAUGUGCCGUCUUGUGAAUACUAGUAAAGAAAUAUAAAAACUAAACUGUGAUAAACUGGGAUAAUAGUUUGAUGAAGGCAUUUAGAUGCACACAGUACAUGAAGACUGAAUACUUAGGAAGACUGCUGCUGUAUAUUCUGCAGUAGAGCACAGUCCUGCACAGCCUGGUCCCAAAAGCAAAGUUCAUCAAAGGUUAUUACUGAUUGGCCACAUGAUUAAAACCACUGAAGGUAAAGUGAUGACAUUUUCUGGUAAAACCCUGGAUCCUGGGAUUCAUAUAGAUGCUAUGUCAACAUGUAUCGCCUACCUAAAAACAUUGCUGCAGACCAAGGAUCAAGGAAGUAGCCUCCCUCCAGCGUGCACCACCUAAAUUAUCCUUUGAGCCUCCAAACGUCUUAGAAGUUCACAACAAUAAGACUGAUUCAAAAAGGACCCACCCUGCAGUCUACAGGACCCAAAGAACACCAUAAUACAUCUGCAGAUGUCUUAUGUCCAGUGUGUCAGAGCUGUAUAUUGUUAGGCAGGUGUCCGAUGGACGUAUAGCUCACGUGAAAUCUGAGCAGUUGUACUGGCCCUGUUUUAACCUCAUAGCUCAAAGCUGUCUGACUGUUCUUCUGGUUUAAAACAAAAUAACAGGCAACACUAACCAGAUGCUAUCCACUGUAAACCAUAUAGUCAUAUUCUCACCGAAACAGAGCAGAAACUGAGGUCAUUCAGGUUGGAAACAGUAUUUUUAGACUUCGGCGACACAUCUGUAUGUUUGGAGCUGAGGGUCAGUGUGUUCCAGCUGCUGCACACACAAAACAGCUCAAAUUGUCUUUCUCUGCUGUCUCUGCUUGAGAGUAAAACCAUGAAAUAAACUCAAAUGAGAUGCAAGCUACGAGUCAACAUGACAGCACACAGAAAAAGACUCUUUGAGACAAAAUGUGCAAUUUUUUAUGUUCAGUUUGCAGGAUAUAGGUUGUGACAUUCUAAAACUUCAUGUUGUCAGCAGGUAACAUCAGACUAAAGCCAACAAUGUGUUGGUCCAUCGCUCCACUUGUGUUUACUGCCUAAAGCACUCAGCCUCAUUUGUUCCAACCAGAGCUGUUAAUCUUUAAAGAAAAUUGAGAAUCGGUUAUAUUUUUUAAGAAGGCUUUGCGAUGACUCACUCGUGUGUUUUUAAUAGUUAAUUUUGUUUUUUUGCUUUAUAGAUGAACAUCACUUUGAUCUUUUCCUUGGCUUUAGUGACAAUGACAUACAGAUGAGGACAGAAUUAUUACCCCCCCCCCCCCCCCCGAGCAAGGAAAUUUUUAACACAGUUUCCAAUACAGCUGCAGAUGUUUAUUAUUUUACUUUGCACACAGAAACGAAAUUAUUUCACACAAACCAAAAACUACCAGAGUCUAAAUUAUAAUCUUUCUCUAGGUUGUUCUUAGCAUGCUACAGUCUUACUUGAAAGUGUCUCUUCUGCAGAAGUAGAAUUGUUUUUGGUCUGCAGCCUUACAAGCCUCACAUGCAGUGCAUUCCUGUGGAGAGCUCUAGUGAUUGUCUUAGUUGAGACUACAAUUCCCAACUUGACUAAAUCAUUCAUGAGUGUGUUGACGGUUGUUCUGGGGUCUUUAGACACAUUCCUCACUAGUUUUCUUUCCAGAGUCUUUGAAAUCUUUUGCUUCCUACCUCUGCCAGGCUUGUUCUGUUUUGGGUGCCACUCUCUGAAUUUCUUCAUGAUUCUUGACACUUGGAAACUCUGCAAUAACUUUGCAUGUCCAUCUCCUGCUUUGUGAACAUCAACAAUUCUUUUUCUCAAGUCUAAGCUGAUUUCUUUUGUUUUUCCAUGAUGUUUUCCAAGUGACAGCAAAAACUCUUGCUGAAGUUUUUAUACUGUGUAUAAACUGGACAAUAAUCUUCAGUUUUAACUUGAUUUUACAGGCUAAUAAUAUUGAACCUGGUAUUUUUUUUUCUAAAAUAAUUGUGUUAUUGUGUGAAAAUAGACCUAAUUCAUGCUUUCAUGUUUAGAAAUGCUAUGUUGAAAAUCCCUUGCUCUGUUAAAAAAAAAGAACUUUUGACAAAACCUUUUAAUUUCAUAGGGAGGAUAAUAAUGUGAUAUUUAUCUGUAACAAUCUGUUGGCAUUCUCCGGCUGUUUGAACAGAAUCAUACUCUCCAUUGAUUUGGAAAUGCUAAUAUAUCAUGAGAGACAAAAAGGAAGCAAUCCCGCUCACUCAAGUCAAACCAUAGCUCCUCUUUUAAGCUCCAGAUAUUGUUUACACUGUGUUUUGCCCUUGCUUGCUGUCAUGCCUCGUGUAUCCGUCCCUGCACAAUCUUAGAGCGAAUCUCACCCAGCAGAUUAAUUACCGCUUUAAUUUGUUUUGCUCUCUCAAUAGGGUUAUUGUUAAUGAACUUCCCUACGCUGCCAUUUCCCCUUUGACUGGAUUAGGGAAAUUAUAUAACAGCAGCAUUGUCCCUACAAGUAACAGCCCGAGCUGGUCUGUCAGUGUCAGCAUGCCUGUUUCGCUAAUUCAAUAUACUGUAGUGACAGUGUGGUUCUGCAACGAAGACACGGACACAAAGGUGAAGUUAAUGCGUCUUUAUUUCAUGCCUCUACAUUUCAUAAGAAAGGACAAACUCUGUAGAUUUUUCAAUCCCUUUUUAUAAUGAAGCAUCGUCCCUCUAGUGUUUCCCUCUGUCAUAGAUUAUCUUUCAAAAUAUAAUGCAUUAUCUACUCUUAUGUACAAAGUUUCUCUACCAUGUUUGAUGUCCUGAAAAUUAUUCAUCACAUUAAAAUGUUAAGCGAAAUGAAUACAUCAACACUAUGUAGUUACAUGUACAUUAUUUUGCACUGGGAAUGGGAUAUUUGCUCAGCAACUUACACAGUUUAAUUAUCAAGACCACAGAGACUACUGUACUCAAAAUAAAAUAAAAUAAAAUUGAGAUGUUGCUAUUCAAAAUAUUUAUAAAUCCCAGAGUUAUUGUUUUAUUUUAUUUAGUUUAUUUUACAGAGCUUGGCUUUAAUAGUAAAUAAAACUCAUGACACAGAAGUCAAAGGAUGGAAUCAGCAACUAUUUCCUGUUCUUACCUUCAAACUUUCAGCUUUUGGUGUGAGAAAAAUAGCGUAGUUUAGAAAAAUGAAAGAGUCUUGUAGAAAGCUGUGUGUCCACGAUGUUGAUAUGGGUGCUUGAUACUUGCUUCAACCCAGCUGGACAUGCACUGUGUUGCAGGGGUGUGUAACUGUUGGAGAUGAUGAGGUGCUAGGAUCAGUCAAGGGUCGUGUCUUGGCAUGGAAGCGAUGGUGUAAACACAACAAUCUGAGGAUCCCUUGUGCUCCAUCUUUAGCGCUCCUUAGUUAAUGCCAAUAUAUGAGGGGUUAAGGUAGGAGAGGAAUUUCU
ensembl:lncRNA